UUUGUACUAAAUUCGAGUCAAUUAAAUGUGACCGGAGGGAGUAGUAAAGAUUCUUGAUUCGUUGCUCCAUCGUAGUUCCUCCUCUUAUCCCUAGGCACCAGAUCCCGCGUCUCACUGUCUUCGUCCCCAACUGGUCGCCGGUAGCGGCCGGCCGUCUACGGCGAGCGGCGGCAGCCGCAUAUUUGGCCAACUAAGGCAUGAUUUGUGGCGGGCGGUCCCGGUGGCUAGGCGAGAGGUCAGAGGUGGGCGGUCUCAGUGGGCUGAAUCGACGACAGCAUCGUCGGUGAACUUCGCCGCAUCUAUUUGGGUGCCAGGUAAUCUGGGGACUGGUGGCUUCAGGCGGCACUGCGGGUGGCAUCUCCACCGUGGUGAGCAGCUGGGGGGACUGAGGGGUCAAGGCGGGCGGUGGGAUCCAACGGAAGGCAUGGUGGCUAUUCUUGUUCGUAUUUUUUAUUGACAGUUGCCGAUCUGCUUUGUUUCUUGUGUGCAUCAUGGAUGUCUGAAAUGUAUCUACACCGUUUCUGCUGCUGCUCCGUGGAUGUCUGAAAUGUGUGCUCCGUUCAUGCUGCUGCUCUCAUUUGUAUCACCGCCUGGUGAAGUUGCAUGGUUGUUUGUGUUUUAAGGAUUGUGUUCUCUUUCUUUGGCUAUGCUUGCCUAUGUUUUUGCUUUGUAAGUAACUUACAAAAUUGUUCUAUCACUGUCUCGAUUUUGAUGUAAUUGUUUUGGUGAAUUUUGUAUUUCUGAAGUACUCCCGUGGCAUUCUAAAAAAAAGUGAGCAAACAUUAGAGAGAAUUUCUUGUGUAUGGCAUCAGAGAAAUUAAAUCACAAAAAUAAGUACCUCUGGACUCUGAUUCACAUGAUAUCAAGCAAGUAUGGUAGCCUGACAAUUUUUCCACGAUCUUCUCUUAAACUAGGGCAGGUACCUACUUAUUUGUGCAUAUACACUCGAUUGCUUAUCCUCAAGAUGAAUUUGGGAUCAUAGAAUCUGACUACCUUGUAGCUUCUAAACCUGUUUAACUGUACUGAUCAUAAAGCGGAAGCAAAUAUACUUUUGCUCAUGUAGAGAUCAUAUAACCUUUGUAAUGAUUUACUUCUUUCCAAAGGCGAUUCUUUGGUUGGAAAUUAUGUUCAGUUUUCUGACUUUUAUGUAUACUAAUUCUCUAUCCAUUCGCUGAACGUCUACUGAUGUUCAAGAUAUUAAAGGGAAGUGCCUCACGCCUUGAUACUGAAUGAAAAUUAGAGGUGCACCACAUGUUGGGGUUCAUAGUCCUUGUGGAAAGACUUAAUUGCUGAUACAUGCUUUUAUAUUUGAAUAUGUGCUACUUGUGCAAGAAUAGAUGUGGUAAACUUCGUAUUCCUAUGGCCGCAAUAUCUCAAACAACAUUCUGCAGUUCGUUUGGUUUGUGGCAAAGUAAGCACUCUUUAGUUUCUUCCAAGUUUUCUAAUGUUUGAAUCACAAAAGUUUUGAACCUUUAGUAGAAAUUUACCAAUUAACUUAUGAAUUUAACUGUACAUGACUUCUUGUGCAUCAUUGGAAUUAUUUAGCAGUUAUGUACAAUAUUAUUAUUAUUCUGUUCUUUCAAUAUUAGAAGCUUCAGUUCAAAAUUUCUGUAGUUCAGGAGUAGCUAGAUCCUAUGUGUCGGUCUAAUGAAACAUUUUAUGAAUUUUCUUUCUUCUGUGAGAUUGGUCAGUGGGUGGAAUUGGCGAGCAGCGUGGCGGGUGGUGGCUGCGUGUGCCGCUAGGGUGUCAUCAACAUCUUGUUGAGUGGUUGGGCGGCCUCAGAACUUGUGCGGGCGGAUCACGCUGGUGGGCUUCGAUGUACGGACCAUAGAUUUACUCUGAUGACCAAUACAGCCUUCAAGUCCGAUACAAGAAGAAAUUUGUGACGCAUAAAUUUGGUUAUCCUAGAACAGAAGAAACAAUGGGAACCUAGGAAAUUUAUAGUUGAAGCAAAAUAAAAUCAGAUAGUGAUCAAGUGGAUGGACAACAUACUAGAUUUUGACACAACCAUCCAGAAGUAAAAGGAUACUAUCAAUAAAACGGAUGUGCCACAUAAGAUCAUAGUUUAACAUAUUAUUUUAACUUUUACGAACCAACUCAUCUUAAAAAUUAUCUCUAGCGAACAGGGAUCUGAUGGGUGUCUUUUUCUACGCACUGGUGAAUAUGUAUAUCCUAUGGAUCCAAUGGCACCAUUCGGAGUGACAUUAGAUGCUUGCUGAAUAUAUUUUUCGAUCAGGUGUACCUUCCUCUAAUUUGUACCAUGUAGCUCUCAAUGUUCUUUCAAUCAUCCACACAUCUACAGUUCGUCAGAUGAGGGAUAUACCAUCUACUAUGUUCUGGGCAGCUGAGAGGAUGUUUGGUAUGAUUUACUGUUGGUAUUUCUUUGUUUUGAUGCUCAGAUUCAGACCGUGUUGGCAAGUGGUUCUAUGACCAGUACUUAAGUAAUGCUAAAUGUUAUCUUGCCUCUUCUGGACCGGCAGAACUAUUAGUUUUAGUUUUCAUUGAAUAACCUCUCAAGCGUAUGAGAAUUGUAAUCUAUCUGUUUAUGUGAGCAAGUUUUUGUCUCUUAAAAAGAAAAGUAAAUAUGCUUCAAGACAAAUAUCUACUUGCUGUACCUUCAUAAGUUUACUCCAUAAAACCUAUUUAGGCAAGUUAGACAGAUUUUGAUAUGCCAUAUCUGUAUGUACCUGCCUUUUUUUACUUGCCAACAAUAGGCAUAGUGAUGUUUUUACUUGCUGUACCUUCAUAAGUUUACUCCAUAAAACUUAUUUAGGCAAGUUAGACAGAUUUUGAUAUGCCAUAUCUGUAUGUACCUGCCUUUUUUUACUUGCCAACAAUAGGCAUAGUGAUGUUUUUUUUGUUUUGCACUAAACUUAUAAUUCAUUCAUCCAUGUUAGAUUCAAUAUACACACAAGAAAUUAAGAACUCUAGCAUAGGAGAGGUGACAUCUUUUUUUUUGAACUCACUCUUAGAAGUUCAGAUGACAUGGAUAUAAGUGCAACUGUGCAAUAUCAAUAUUUAUGCUUGUUUGAUUGAACUAAAAUGAGUUAUAUAUAUUCUUCCCAGGGACUAUGUAUGAUUUUUAGAUGCCUCCACAUGUGGUCCGUGCUAUCUCAGUGACUAAAAAUGUAGCUUCUCGCGAGAGAAUGUGGGGUACUCCAGCUACACUAGCAAAUAUUGUUACUUCAAACGAAAGAACACCUAGGUUCAGAGCCAGAUGUUUCCGAGAAUAUUAAAUAGGAAGACUACCAAGUUAUUCUUCAAUAUUUUUUUAAAGUGCAACUCAAGAGGAAAUGAACCCUUUCUUUGAUAAGAAAAUUACCAUCAAGGGUGAGGGUAAUAGAUUACAAGAAAAGUUAAAACUUCUAACAAUGUGGUGAUAAUAACGAAUGUGCACACUAUCUACCUUUGACCGUCUGGAUAUAUGAAAAGCUCUUGCUCAUAUGGUACUCAUGAGUUGUAUUGUUAAGUUGUAGAGGAUGAAAACUUCAAAUAUACUCAAGGUUCGUCAUUUGAAAGGGUAGAUUUCAGCUCCACAUGGUAGGAAAGUUGAACUGAGGGCUUUACACAUAAGUCUUUGCUUAAUCAGACACAUGGAUCAUGUAGAAAAUCAACAUACGGUAGUAUUUAGUGGGUUUCUUCCGCGUUUUUAUUUAUAAGAAUAACGGUAAAUUGUGUGUCCUACUAUGUAUCAUGUAGAAAUCAACAUACAGUAGCAUUGAUCCCUGUUAUUGGCUAUAUAUGACGACCUAACCAUUGCAACUAUGUAAUACUUUGUAGAUCAUUUGUUAAGGAACCUCUUACUUAGUAGUAUAUUUAAGUUGAAACUAUUUUCAUUUUGUUAAAUGAAGAAUGCACAAAGGAAAAGGUAUUUCUUUAAUUUCAACCAAGGCAUGUGAAGUACGAAUUAAUAGGUGCAUAUAUUCCUGGUUAAUCUUAGUGACGAUGUGUUCCUCAGGAUUUUGGACAGGCCCAUGAAUAUGAGCACUAAGAUCUGGUGUCAAGGUUCCGGGUGCUCGAUCCAAGUUCCCAACACUGUUACUCGCCAGUGAAAUUCUGUUUAAAUGUGUUGUGCACCUUUUAAGCAAGAUAUUACACUCCACAUCUUUAUUUUCGUUUCAACUUAUGUCAUUGGUUAGUUUUGCUGAUAACACACUUGAACCAGUUUGUUGCCUAUUAAAUUAGUCUGUUUAAUUUUAUGCUAGACCACUGUAGCCUUUUGUAGCCCCCUCUGACUGAUUCCAAUUACAUUUUUUUUACUUUCCCAUGCAAUUUGCUACUUUAUUUUAUAACAACAACAAUUUGUUUUAUGGACUUAUGUAGGUCACCUAUGUAUGUUCUUUUUGUUGGAUUAUCACUUCUCUUUCAAAAAACAUCACUUACAUGAUAUGCAAAUUGGUAAAUAUGAGUGCUUUAUCUCGCCUAUCACGAGGAGCUCAAACCACCGCUAUCGUACUAAAGUUACUCGAUACAUUUUGUAGGCAGUUAAAUGUUUUGUGCCUAAUUACCAAAAGUUGUUUCAUACCUGCAUUUUCUUUACCAGGCAAUAUGUAUGAUGGACAUAUUUUGGAUGCAAAUCCAAUUCUUUUUGGGUUAAA